rnacentral:misc_RNA from 1 species
UCAAACUUGGUCAUUUAGAGGAAGUAAAAGUCGUAACAAGGUUUCCGUAGGUGAACCUGCGGAAGGAUCAUUAACGAGUUUUUGAAAGGGGUUGUAGCUGGCUUCCAAAAAAAAUCAAGGAAGCAUGUGCACACCCUACUCAAUCCACUCUCAAACCCCUGUGCACUUACUGUAGGCUUGGUGGGAUGGCUGACUGUAUGGUCAGUUCUGAAAGCCUUGUCUAUGUUUCAUACAAACGCUUCAGUCAAAGAAUGUAACAUUGUGUUUAACACAUUUAAAUACAACUUUCAGCAACGGAUCUCUUGGCUCUCGCAUCGAUGAAGAACGCAGC